GAUGAACGCUAGCGGCAGGCCUAACACAUGCAAGUCGAGGGAGAAGCCCUUUCGGGGGCCGAAACCGGCGCACGGGUGCGUAACGCGUAUGCAACCUACCUUUCACAGGGGGAUAGCCCGAAGAAAUUUGGAUUAAUACCCCAUAAUAUUAUUGGAUGGCAUCAUUUGAUAAUUAAAACUGCGGUGGUGCAAGAUGGGCAUGCGUCCUAUUAGCUAGUUGGAGUGGUAACGGCACCCCAAGGCUACGAUAGGUAGGGGUCCUGAGAGGGAGAUCCCCCACACUGGUACUGAGACAGGGACCAGACUCCUACGGGAGGCAGCAGUGAGGAAGAUUGGUCAAUGGUCGGAAGACUGAACCAGCCAUGCCGCGUGCAGGAAGAAUGCCUUAUGGGUGGUAAACUGCUUUUAGAUGGGAAGAAUAAGGUGUACGUGUACAUUGAUGACGGUACCAUAUGAAUAAGCAUCGGCUAACUCCGUG
rnacentral:rRNA from 1 species